rnacentral:rRNA from 1 species
GAUGAACGCUGACAGAAUGCUUAACACAUGCAAGUCAACUUGAACUUCGGUUUGGGUGGCGGACGGGUGAGUAACGCGUAAAGAACUUGCCUCACAGCUAGGGACAACAUUUGGAAACGAAUGCUAAUACCUGAUAUUAUGAUUAUAUGGCAUCGUAUAAUUAUGAAAGCUAUAUGCGCUGUGAGAGAGCUUUGCGUCCCAUUAGCUAGUUGGAGAGGUAACAGCUCACCAAGGCGAUGAUGGGUAGCCGGCCUGAGAGGGUGAUCGGCCACAAGGGGACUGAGACACGGCCCUUACUCCUACGGGAGGCAGCAGUGGGGAAUAUUGGACAAUGGACCGAGCGUCUGAUCCAGCAAUUCUGUGUGCACGAUGAAGUUUUUCGGAAUGUAAAGUGCUUUCAGUUGGGAAGAAAAAAAUGACGGUACCAACAGAAGAGGUGACGGCUAAAUACGUG